rnacentral:rRNA from 1 species
UAUUGCACAAUGGGCGAAAGCCUGAUGCAGCCACGCCGCGUGAGUGAUGAAGGCCUUCGGGUCGUAAAGCCCUUUCCUCAAGGAAGACAAUGACGGUACUUUAGGAGGAAGCCCCGGCUAACUACGUUCCAGCAGCCGCGGUAAUACGUAGGGGGCUAGCGUUAUCCGGAAUUACUGGGCGUAAAGGGUGCGUAGGUGGUUUCUUAAGUCAGAGGUGAAAGGCUACGGCUCAACCGUAGUAAGCCUUUGAAACUGGGAAACUUGAGUGCAGGAGAGGAGAGUGGAAUUCCUAGUGUAGCGGUGAAAUGCGUAGAUAUUAGGAGGAACACCAGUUGCGAAGGCGGCUCUCUGGACUGUAACUGACACUGAGGCACGAAAGCGUGGGGAGCAAACAGG